GAUGAACGCUGGCGGCGUGCCUAAUACAUGCGAGUCGAGCGAACGGACGAGUAGCUUGCUUCUCUGAUGUUAGCGGCGGACGGGUGAGUAACACGUGGAUAACCUACCUAUAGGACUGGGAUAACUUCGGGAAACCGGAGCUAAUACCGGAUAAUAUUUUGAACCGCAUGGUUCAAAAGUGAAAGACGGUCUUGCUGUCACUUAUAGAUGGAUCCGCGCUGCAUUAGCUAGUUGGUAAGGUAACGGCUUACCAAGGCAACGAUGCAUAGCCGACCUGAGAGGGUGAUCGGCCACACUGGAACUGAGACACGGUCCAGACUCCUACGGGAGGCAGCAGUAGGGAAUCUUCCGCAAUGGGCGAAAGCCUGACGGAGCAACGCCGCGUGAGUGAUGAAGGUCUUCGGAUCGUAAAACUCUGUUAUUAGGGAAGAACAUAUGUGUAAGUAACUGUGCACAUCUUGACGGUACCUAAUCAGAAAGCCACGGCUAACUACGUG
rnacentral:rRNA from 1 species